rnacentral:rRNA from 1 species
AGAGUUUGAUCCUGGCUCAGGAUGAACGCUGGCGGCGUGCUUAACACAUGCAAGUCGAGCGAAGCACUUUUGCGGAUUUCUUCGGAUUGAAGCAAUUGUGACUGAGCGGCGGACGGGUGAGUAACGCGUGGGUAACCUGCCUCAUACAGGGGGAUAACAGUUGGAAACGGCUGCUAAUACCGCAUAAGCGCACAGUACCGCAUGGUACCGUGUGAAAAACUCCGGUGGUAUGAGAUGGACCCGCGUCUGAUUAGCUAGUUGGUGGGGUAACGGCCUACCAAGGCGACGAUCAGUAGCCGACCUGAGAGGGUGACCGGCCACAUUGGGACUGAGACACGGCCCAAACUCCUACGGGAGGCAGCAGUGGGGAAUAUUGCACAAUGGGGGAAACCCUGAUGCAGCGACGCCGCGUGAGCGAUGAAGUAUUUCGGUAUGUAAAGCUCUAUCAGCAGGGAAGAAAAUGACGGUACCUGACUAAGAAGCCCCGGCUAACUACGUGCCAGCAGCCGCGGUAAUACGUAGGGGGCAAGCGUUAUCCGGAUUUACUGGGUGUAAAGGGAGCGUAGACGGCAUGGCAAGCCAGAUGUGAAAGCCCGGGGCUCAACCCCGGGACUGCAUUUGGAACUGUCAGGCUAGAGUGUCGGAGAGGAAAGCGGAAUUCCUAGUGUAGCGGUGAAAUGCGUAGAUAUUAGGAGGAACACCAGUGGCGAAGGCGGCUUACUGGACGGUAACUGACGUUGAGGCUCGAAAGCGUGGGGAGCAAACAGGAUUAGAUACCCUGGUAGUCCACGCCGUAAACG